rnacentral:rRNA from 1 species
ACGCUCGACACCUACGGGGGCAGCAGUGGGGAAUAUUGCACAAUGGGGGAAACCCUGAUGCAGCGACGCCGCGUGAGCGAAGAAGUAUCUCGGUAUGUAAAGCUCUAUCAGCAGGGAAGAAGAUGACGGUACCUGACUAAGAAGCACCGGCUAAAUACGUGCCAGCAGCCACGGUAAUCUGAGCGGGCUGGCAAGGC